GGCUCUUGUCUUCAAAAGAACAAAUUCUGUC
rnacentral:piRNA from 1 species